AGCUUCUUAGCGCAGUGGAAGCGCGCGGGGCUCAUAUGUAGCCAUGCUGUCCGCCAACUAUAAUUGUCACCCCGAGGUCCUUGGAUCGAGACCAAGAGAAGCUA
rnacentral:tRNA from 1 species